GGGGAAUAUUGGACAAUGGGCGAAAGCCUGAUCCAGCCAUGCCGCGUGUGUGAAGAAGGUCUUCGGAUUGUAAAGCACUUUAAGUUGGGAGGAAGGGCAGUAAGUUAAUACCUUGCUGUUUUGACGUUACCAACAGAAUAAGCACCGGCUAACUUCGUGCCAGCAGCCGCGGUAAUACGAAGGGUGCAAGCGUUAAUCGGAAUUACUGGGCGUAAAGCGCGCGUAGGUGGUUCAGCAAGUUGGAUGUGAAAUCCCCGGGCUCAACCUGGGAACUGCAUCCAAAACUACUGAGCUAGAGUACGGUAGAGGGUGGUGGAAUUUCCUGUGUAGCGGUGAAAUGCGUAGAUAUAGGAAGGAACACCAGUGGCGAAGGCGACCACCUGGACUGAUACUGACACUGAGGUGCGAAAGCGUGGGGAGCAAAC
rnacentral:rRNA from 1 species